UACGAAGGGGGCUAGCGUUGUUCGGAAUCACUGGGCGUAAGGGCGCGUAGGCGGCUUUGUAAGUCGGGGGUGAAAGCCUGUGGCUCAACCACAGAAUUGCCUUCGAUACUGCAUGGCUUGAGACCGGAAGAGGUAAGUGGAACUGCGAGUGUAGAGGUGAAAUUCGUAGAUAUUCGCAAGAACACCAGUGGCGAAGGCGGCUUACUGGUCCGGUUCUGACGCUGAGGCGCGAAAGCGUGGGGAGCAAACAGG
rnacentral:rRNA from 1 species